UUGAUCCUGGCUCAGAGCGAACGCUGGCGGCAGGCUUAACACAUGCAAGUCGAGCGGGCCCUUCGGGGUCAGCGGCAGACGGGUGAGUAACGCGUGGGAACGUGCCCUUCGGUUCGGAAUAACUCAGGGAAACUUGAGCUAAUACCGGAUACGCCCUUAUGGGGAAAGGCUUGACUGCCGAAGGAUCGGCCCGCGUCUGAUUAGCUAGUUGGUGAGGUUAUGGCUCACCAAGGCGACGAUCAGUAGCUGGUCUGAGAGGAUGAUCAGCCACACUGGGACUGAGACACGGCCCAGACUCCUACGGGAGGCAGCAGAAGGG
rnacentral:rRNA from 1 species